rnacentral:rRNA from 1 species
UAAGGAAUAUUGGUCAAUGGACGCAAGUCUGAACCAGCCAUGCCGCGUGAAGGAUUAAGGUCCUCUGGAUUGUAAACUUCUUUUAUUUGGGACGAAAAAGGGCCUUUCUAGGUCAACUGACGGUACCAGAUGAAUAAGCACCGGCUAACUCCGUGCCAGCAGCCGCGGUAAUACGGAGGGUGCAAGCGUUAUCCGGAUUCACUGGGUUUAAAGGGUGCGUAGGCGGGUAGGUAAGUCAGUGGUGAAAUCCUGGAGCUCAACUUCAGAACUGCCAUUGAUACUAUUUAUCUUGAAUAUUGUGGAGGUAAGCGGAAUAUGUCAUGUAGCGGUGAAAUGCUUAGAUAUGACAUAGAACACCUAUUGCGAAGGCAGCUUACUACGCAUAUAUUGACGCUGAGGCACGAAAGCGUGGGGAUCAAACAGG